GAAAAAAGAAGUCAGCCUAAAUACGUCACAUUCUGUGACAACGGCUUACUGACCUACAUCCUGAGGG
rfam:Solibacillus silvestris StLB046 DNA, complete genome.